ensembl:lncRNA
CUGAGACGCAGCGGAGCGGAGGUGGAGUGCCUGCCUUAAAACAGGACAUAUUAGCUGCAUUUAACCUUCAGUUACUCUUUAUAUAGUUAGGUAGGAGUCAGGCCAUGUUUCUUUUUAGCUGAAAAACAUCACAUCCAGAGAGACAGUCAGGUUCAUAAUGGAUAUGAGGAAGUUUUUUCAAAAAAAGGAGCCACAUUCAGUCCAAAGAGGGAGAGAGGAAAGAGGAGAACAUGAGGAGAAAGUACAAGGUCAGGAAGAACCAGGUAAGAAAACAGACAGGGAGUACUAACAGGCAAAACAGAAACUGUUAAACUGGCAAAGAAAAAAACAACAACUAAUUUUACUCAUACAAUCUGGAAGUUGUUUUCUCCCUAUAUUAAAGCUGCUGUACAGAAUCUGCA